CUGGCUGAUAUAUUUACUUAGGUCUCAUUUUCUGUUAUUUUAGUGUGUCCUCCUGUUUAUACUAAAAAUAUAAUUGCCAUACAACAGGAUGCCAUUUUAUGCCAACAGCAGCCUCACACAUCUUGUGCUACUGCAUCUCUGGAUUGCAUCAUUUUCUCUUGUGCUUGAUCUAAUGUCACGUGGAUCUGUUCAUCAUGGUCCUAGGAGCAACGGACUACAUCACAUGUACAGGAGUUCUCAGAGGAUGUAGCUGUAAGUGAUGAGGGGCAGAUUAGAGAGAGAAGAUACAUCCUGUGCAGCCUUGCAACACUGGUGAGUGGAGGCCUUUGUUAAAAAGUGCAGGAAAGAUUAAGAAAAGACCAUACUCUGCAGAGUACAAAAUGUCACCUUCUCAAACACAGUCCCUCUUUCAUAUUCCUAAUUAUACUCCACUGGAUGUUUCAGCCAUUUCCACUCUUCC
rnacentral:lncRNA from 1 species